GCUGGGGCGACCUUCUCUAGGAUGUCACAGAGGAGCCCUAGCCUGGAACUGGUGGCAGCAGCAGCAGCAGCAGCAGCUCUCAGGCUUCACCACUACAGUCCCCACUUCUCCCUAAAUCUCCUCCUCUUCCGCCACCCUUUUCAUUUCACCUUUUGGUACGAAGCAGAACCCUUCAUUUCAACCUCCACCCCCUACACUCCACCUUUCUAACCUCGCCCUCCACGGUCUCUAAGACGUCAGCGCCUACCGGAGCGUGCUCAGCCUGGCUCGCCUCUUCCUCCUCCCUCCCCACGUAACCCCCACCCCAGCACUUGCUCGACCAGCUUUCAAACCCAGAGAGCCACUGGCUGUUCAAUACAAACAAAGAAGCUCGACGAAUUCCUGCUAGUCUCACCCAGUCCUUCACAACUAUCACCACAGAGAACUGGAAACUAGCACUAGAGUAACGUAGACAUGAAGUCCUUGAGCAAUUCUCCAAAGCACAAUCGCAAGCUCGAACCACACGAAAGAUUGCUUUAGAAUCCCCCCUAGGGAAAAUGCAAAUCCAAUCAGCUCCCAAGUUUCACUGCACACCCAGCAAACUGAGGAAAAAGCCAAAACGGGGGAGCAGUCAUUUUGUCAGGAAGGUUGUAAACCGACCGCGGAAGGCGCACUAUUAAUAGGAUGCUCAAGGCGGGAGGUUCCCGUGUUUGGACCCAGAGUAAUAAGCGGCUGAGGAUACGAAGGGCCGAAUAAAUUCAUAUACACCGACA